rnacentral:rRNA from 1 species
UAAGGAAUAUUGGUCAAUGGAGGCAACUCUGAACCAGCCAUGCCGCGUGGAGGAUGAAGGCCCUCUGGGUUGUAAACUUCUUUUAUAAGGGAAGAAAUGCAGACAUUCUUGUUUGUUUGACGGUACCUUAGGAAUAAGCACCGGCUAACUCCGUGCCAGCAGCCGCGGUAAUACGGAGGGUGCAAGCGUUAUCCGGAUUCACUGGGUUUAAAGGGUGCGUAGGCGGGCAGGUAAGUCAGUGGUGAAAUCUUCGAGCUUAACUCGGAAACUGCCGUUGAUACUAUCUGUCUUGAAUACUCGGGAGGUGAGCGGAAUAUGUCAUGUAGCGGUGAAAUGCUUAGAUAUGACAUAGAACACCAAUUGCGAAGGCAGCUCACUACAGAGUCAUUGACGCUGAGGCACGAAAGCGUGGGGAUCAAACAGG